UCCGCGGUAGCUCAAUGGUAGAGCGGGUGGCUGUUAACCACUAGGUUGUAGGUUCGAGUCCUACCCGCGGAGCCA
rnacentral:tRNA from 1 species